rnacentral:rRNA from 1 species
UACAGAGGGGGCAAGCGUUGUUCGGAAUUACUGGGCGUAAAGGGCGCGUAGGCGGCCUUCUAAGUCGAACGUGAAAUCCCCGGGCUCAACCCGGGAACUGCGUCCGAUACUGGAAGGCUUGAAUCCGGGAGAGGGAUGUGGAAUUCCAGGUGUAGCGGUGAAAUGCGUAGAUAUCUGGAGGAACACCGGUGGCGAAGGCGACAUCCUGGACCGGUAUUGACGCUGAGGCGCGAAAGCCAAGGGAGCAAACGGG